UCAGAGCGAACGCUGGCGGCAGGCUUAACACAUGCAAGUCGAACGGGCUUCUUCGGAAGUCAGUGGCAGACGGGUGAGUAACACGUGGGAACGUGCCCUUCGGUUCGGAAUAACUCAGGGAAACUUGAGCUAAUACCGGAUACGCCCUUAUGGGGAAAGGUUUACUGCCGAAGGAUCGGCCCGCGUCUGAUUAGCUUGUUGGUGGGGUAACGGCCUACCAAGGCGACGAUCAGUAGCUGGUCUGAGAGGAUGAUCAGCCUCACUGGGACUGAGACACGGCCCAGACUCCUACGGGAGGCAGCAGUGGGGAAUAUUGGACAAUGGGCGCAAGCCUGAUCCAGCCAUGCCGCGUGAGUGAUGAAGGCCUUAGGGUUGUAAAGCUCUUUUGUCCGGGACGAUAAUGACGGUACCGGAAGAAUAAGCCCCGGCUAACUUCGUGCCAGCAGCCGCGGUAAUACGAAGGGGGCUAGCGUUGCUCGGAAUCACUGGGCGUAAAGGGCGCGUAGGCGGCCGAUUAAGUCGGGGGUGAAAGCCUGUGGCUCAACCACAGAAUUGCCUUCGAUACUGGUUGGCUUGAGACCGGAAGAGGACAGCGGAACUGCGAGUGUAGAGGUGAAAUUCGUAGAUAUUCGCAAGAACACCAGUGGCGAAGGCGGCUGUCUGGUCCGGUUCUGACGCU
rnacentral:rRNA from 1 species